UCCGCAGGCGGGUCAGUAAGUCAGGGGUGAAAGUUUGCGGCUUAACCGUAAAAUUGCCUUUGAUACUGCUGGUCUUGAGUUGCGGUGAAGUGGCUGGAAUAUGUGGUGUAGCGGUGAAAUGCAUAGAUAUCACAUAGAACACCGAUUGCGAAGGCAGGUCACUAACCGCCGACUGACGCUGAUGGACGAAAGCGUGGGGAGCGAACG
rnacentral:rRNA from 1 species